rnacentral:rRNA from 1 species
UACGUAGGGUGCGAGUGUUGUCCGGAAUUAUUGGGCGUAAAGGGCUCGUAGGCGGUUUGUCGCGUCGGGAGUGAAAACCUCGGGCUUAACUCGGGGCUUGCUUUCGAUACGGGCAGACUGGAGGUAUGCAGGGGAGAACGGAAUUCCUGGUGUAGCGGUGAAAUGCGCAGAUAUCGGGAAGAACACCCGUGGCGAAGGCGGCUCUCUGGGACGGUACUGACGCUGAGACGCGAAAGCGUGGGGAGCGAACAGG